AUGCUCACUUCUGAGCACACAGACUAAAACUGUAGUAAUUCCGAGAUUAGUAUGGCCUCUGAACAAGAGUGACAGGCAGAUUUGUGAAGUGCUCCAUAUUUAG
ensembl:snRNA U6 U6 spliceosomal RNA